GGAUCGGAGUCUGNAACCCGACUCCGUGAAGCUGGAUUCGCUAGUAAUCGCGCAUCAGCCAUGGCGCGGUGAAUACGUUCCCGGGCCUUGUACACACCGCCCGUCAAGCCAUGGAAGCCGGGGGUGCCUGAAGUGUGCAGCCGCAAGGAGCGCCCUAAGGUAAAACCGGUGACUGGGGCUAAGUCGUAACAAGGUAGC
rnacentral:rRNA from 1 species